rnacentral:misc_RNA from 1 species
GAUGAAGAACGCAGCGAAAUGCGAUAAGUAAUGUGAAUUGCAGAAUUCAGUGAAUCAUCGAAUCUUUGAACGCACCUUGCGCUCCUUGGUAUUCCGAGGAGCAUGCCUGUUUGAGUGUCAUUAAUAUAUCAACCUUCUCUUUUUUGAGUUGUUUGGAUGUGGGGGUUUGCUGGCCUCUUAAAUGAUUCAGCUCCCCUGAAAUGCAUUAGCAGAACAACCUGUUCAUUAGCGUGAUAAUUAUCUAUGCUAUUGAAUGUGAGGGCAGUUCAGCUUUCUAACCGUCCUUGGACAAUUCAUCAUUAAUGUGCCCUCAAAUCAGGUAGGACUACCCGCUGAACUUAAGCAUAUCAAUAAGCGGAGGA